GCCAAUGUAGCUCAGCGGUUAGAGCAGUCGUUUCAUAAGCGACAGGUCGUGGGUUCGAUCCCCACCAUUGGUA
rnacentral:tRNA from 1 species